UACGUAGGGGGCUAGCGUUGUCCGGAUUUAUUGGGCGUAAAGAGCGUGUAGGCGGCCAGGUAGGUCUGCUGUGAAAACUCGAGGCUCAACCUCGAGAUGUCGGCGGAAACCGUCUGGCUAGAGUCCGGAAGAGGAGAGUGGAAUUCCUGGUGUAGCGGUGAAAUGCGCAGAUAUCAGGAAGAACACCCGUGGCGAAGGCGGCUCUCUGGGACGGUACUGACGCUGAGACGCGAAAGCGUGGGGAGCGAACAGG
rnacentral:rRNA from 1 species